rnacentral:lncRNA from 1 species
AUGGCACUGAGUACUACCUUGGUGUGGAUUCAAUCUGCAUCCAUGACAGCUGGAAUCCUAGUGACAUUGCCAACAGCUCUGACAUUGCCCUGCUGUGCCUCGGAUCUCCUGCCAAUGCCAACGGGUUCGCUGAGCUGGGAGCGCUUCCACCUAAGGGAGAAAUUUUUCCCAAUGACUAUUCCUGCCGUGUUACUGGCUGAGAAGUGGUCAGUGGUGAGUGAGGGGGAAGGAGGAGGGUCCAGGGGGGCAACCAUACAGAUAAAGCUUCUUUCCUCAACCCCUGGAGCUGCUGGGCCAAGCUGUCACCCUUUCUCGUGUCCCCUCUGCUGUGCAGUGAGUGGUGGCAGCAUGGACAGGCUGCAGGAGGUGAUGCUGCCAGUGGUCACCACGAUAUCCCUGCUCCCAGGAGGGCUGGUGGGGAUCCCAGGCAAGGACAGCAUACUCUGUGCAGGUGGAGAUGGUGUGAGGGCAGGAUGCAGUGUAAGAGCUCUUAUAAUCAGAGGGGUUUCAAGCUGCCCUCUUUCUUUCUCCCUCCUUUCUCACCUUGCUGUGCCUCACGUUCUGGUUUUGCCAUUUCUUCACCUGCAGUAGUUCUCCUGCAAAUCUUGGCCCCUUUUUGCUGCUUUCUGCUGAGUAUCUUCUGAACCAGGCCUUCUCCACAUUCUUCCAGGAAUCAGCAAGCAGAGAGAAAAACCUCCAGCUCCUCAGGGUGCACCUCUCCUCUCUGAUUCUGGAGAGUAGAUUGUCCCUGUCUCUCAGCAGCGUGUCCCAAGUUCCAGAUCCUGGGGACAAGGGUGAGACUUUGGCAGUCACCUCUGCCCUGACCCAAAGGGUGAAGCUACAAGGAAGUUUUCCCACUCUUCCAGUGCUGCUGUUUUGCUUUGUUGUACCCUGAGCCAGGCAUUGCUACAUCCUGCUUGUCAACCUUCUCCUUCCCAUCCACUCUGUUUGCAGCAGAGCUUGCUGCAAGUUUGGGCUAUGUCCAACAGCUUUCUCUGGCCCAGAGGUGGGAAAAGAAGAUAUUGUGAGGUUCCCAUUAUCCCAGAGGAUCCAGGUGGCCUCAGCAUCAAGGCAAGGAGGUUUGGCAUGAGAAGUCAAGAAAUAUUUGUUACCUCUUCCUGUAUUCCCUUCACUGCAAAGGUGGCUUCUAAUAAAAGCAACCAUGUAGAGCCCUUAAAAAAGUGU